rnacentral:rRNA from 1 species
GAUGAACGCUGGCGGCGUGCCUAAUACAUGCAAGUCGAGCGGACGGACGAUAAGCUUGCUUCUCUGAGGUUAGCGGCGGACGGGUGAGUAACACGUGGAUAACCUACCUAUAAGACUUGGAUAACUUCGGGAAACCGGAGCUAAUACCGGAUAAUAUGUUGAACCGCAUGGUUCAAAAGUUAAAGACGGUCUUGCUGUCACUUAUAGAUGGAUCCGCGCUGCAUUAGCUAGUUGGUAAGGUAACGGCUUACCAAGGCAACGAUGCAUAGCCGACCUGAGAGGGUGAUCGGCCACACUGGAACUGAGACACGGUCCAGACUCCUACGGGAGGCAGCAGUAGGGAAUAUUCCGCAAUGGGCGAAAGCCUGACGGAGCAACGCCGCGUGAGUGAUGAAGGUCUUCGGAUCGUAAAACUCUGUUAUUAGGGAAGAACAUAUGUGUAAGUAACUGUGCACAUCUUGACGGUACCUAAUCAGAAAGCCACGGCUAACUACGUG